AACGCCCCCCUCCUCGCCGGGACACGUCAUCGCCCCUUGCCCCCAGUGACAGAAAGGGCAAGUGUUCCGUGGGGGGGAAUGGAAGUGUGCCCAGAGCCCCUGGCGUGGGGAGAGCCAGUGGUCAUUGACGCCGAUAUUUCACUCCUGAGGGUAGGCAAGGGUGCAUCUCCUGCAGGCAUGUGGCCGCAGACCUGGUCCCUAUGAUGCUCGCCUGUGUGCCGCUGCCGCUUUGGUCCCUGCACCAGUGAUUGCCAAUUGGCAGAGGAAAUUUUCUACAAUGGGGGAAGGGACAGAGCAGCUCUGCCAAGGACCGAUUGGCAGAUGAUUGAGAUGGACUACUGGGACUGGCUAGACCUUUCCGAAGUGGAAAAGAGGUCCUGUCUCGCUGCAUCGCUGGAUGACUCUGCCAUGUGCUCCACAUCAUCCUCCAAAUCACCCUCUUGUCCACGACUUUGUCCUCUGGAUUGAGUCCACUGUCUGCUGUCUCCAGCCCCACCAAAGUAUCCAUGGGGCUCUUGGUGGUAGAGGUGAGGUCUACUGCCAGGGAUGGUGUCUAGCUCCUAAUAGAAGCAGCAGGUCUUUGGCACAGCAUCAAAGUGACAGUUUGACUCCCGUGCCUCCUAGUAAGCCUGCCUCAGCUCCUUUAGCUUUGCAUGGCACUGAUGCAUGUCCCAUUUCUAGCCCUUCUCUAACAAGCCAUGAGAAAUCUGCCUGUAGGUACUGAAGUUCCUACGGCUGGAGUGGAGCUGGGACUGCACAGCCUUCUCUCCCCACAGCACCAGCAGAUCCAACAACUCAGGUGUGCUCCAAGCAGGAGAGCAUUUGCUGCAUGGAGCCACCAUGGGCAGCGGGAAAGAUGCAAUGUGAGCUGUCUACGCCAAGCAAAUAGGAACUGGAAUUUCAAAAAUCCCCAGGCCUUUAAAGGGGGAGGGACGGAUGCCUGGGUACUGGGUGCAGGGCAGCGGAGUUCAAACUGCUGACCAGACCAUUCAGGAUGGACAUUGUGGGACAUCUCAUGGAGACCAUUUAAAGUGACAUAACCAAGUGCAGUGUUUACACUGACACUUUGUUGAUAUAACUUUGCUGCAAAAAGCUCUACACCUCUCAUCAAGGUGAUUUUAUUUUGUUGGCAAAGCAGGAGAGUUUUGUUGGCAGAAGGCACAUUGCACUGUGUACACCUUCACUGUUUUGUUGAUGAACCUAUGUGAUGUAGACAAGGCCUUAGAGAGGUGGAUUAUAUGCCCACAGGAGACCUCCUCCCAUCAGUGAAGCAUUUCAAGUGUAGACAAGCCUUUAGACAAGUUAGAUGUCUUCAAGUUGGCAGAGCCUGAUGAAAUAC